AGUGAACGCUGGCGGUAGGCCUAACACAUGCAAGUCGAACGGCAGCACAGAGGAGCUUGCUCCUUGGGUGGCGAGUGGCGGACGGGUGAGGAAUACAUCGGAAUCUACUCUGUCGUGGGGGAUAACGUAGGGAAACUUACGCUAAUACCGCAUACGACCUACGGGUGAAAGCAGGGGACCUUCGGGCCUUGCGCGAUUGAAUGAGCCGAUGUCGGAUUAGCUAGUUGGCGGGGUAAAGGCCCACCAAGGCGACGAUCCGUAGCUGGUCCGAGAGGAUGAUCAGCCACACUGGAACUGAGACACGGUACAGACUCCUACGGGAGGCAGCAGUGGAGAAUAUUGGACAAUGGGCGCAAGCCUGGUCCAGCAACACCGCGUGGGUGAAGAAGGCCUUCGGGUUGUAAAGCCAUUUUGUUGGUAAAGAAAUCCAGCUGGCUAAUACCCGGUUGGGAUGACGGUACCCAAAGAAUAAGCACCGGCUAACUUCGUGCCAGCAGCCGCGGUAA
rnacentral:rRNA from 1 species